rnacentral:lncRNA from 1 species
AUUAGGAAGGUAAAGUAUGGGGAAGGAGUGGGGAAGGGUGCAUAGUGUCCCAGGCACACGGAACAGUAUCUACAAAAGCUCAAAGGGGCUCAGAGAGGAUUGAAACUGAUAGUCUGGCUGGAGAGUCAUGUACAAGGGGAUGGAAGGCUGAGAGAUGAGGCUGGCAAGGUGAAUCCCAUUCUCAUUUUUGCAGUAUCCAAGAGCUGGAUGCCUACAUGAUGCAGUC